rnacentral:misc_RNA from 1 species
AACAAGGCGUACCUGCGGACCUGCGGAGGGAUCAUUAAUAAAUGUUACUUCGGUAACUUAAUUAAUCCCUAACACCUGUGCAUCUUGUCGCUUCGGCGUCAUUUUAUAAACAUCAGUGUAAUGAAUGUAACGUAUUAUAACAAAUACAACUUUCAACAAUGGAUCU